rnacentral:rRNA from 1 species
UACGUAGGGUGCAAGCGUUGUCCGGAAUUAUUGGGCGUAAAGAGCUCGUAGGCGGUCUGUCACGUCGGCUGUGAAAACCCGGGGCUCAACCCCGGGCCUGCAGUCGAUACGGGCAGACUAGAGUGCGGUAGGGGAGAAUGGAAUUCCUGGUGUAGCGGUGGAAUGCGCAGAUAUCAGGAGGAACACCGAUGGCGAAGGCAGUUCUCUGGGCCGUAACUGACGCUGAGGAGCGAAAGCGUGGGGAGCGAACAGG